AUCCCUCUGGGGGGCUCGUUGAAACGGAGAAAGAAUCCCUGACUCAUGUCGAACCGGGGGCCUGAGCGUGAGCCGUGUGCCGGCCCGACGAUCCUCAUCGGGAAGCCUGACGCUCACGAUACCGGCUCCCACCUGCUCGUAGCAGGGGUUCGACUCCAUUAUCCCAACGGCUUUUUCGGUACGGAU
rnacentral:other from 2 species